ensembl:lncRNA
CUAAUACACACACACAGGUACACACACUACCAGGUACACACUAAUACACACACACACAACGGUACACACACUACCAGGUACACACUAAUACACACACACACAGGUACACACACUACCAGGUACACACUAAUACACACACACAGGUACACACACUAUCAGGUACACACUAAUACACACACACACAGAUACACACACUCCCAGGUACACACUAAUACACACACACCUACAGGUACACACACUUCCAGGUACACAC